UAGCAAAUUGCACCGCAAAUAUGCCCUGAACGGGGGUUUAGCAAAUUUCUGUGCAAACAAUCACAACUUCACAACUUUACACCAGUUCCGUCAAGUGGUUGACAAAGCAAGCACGAAUCAAAGUAGACCGUUUAUUGACAGUCCAAUUAAUUGUGUCGCCGUUAAUAGAAGUAGUAUCAUGUAUGGGGUGUCCAUUAAGAUUAGUAUAUCAGUCAACUGGAGGUAGUUAUCGAAAUGAGAUCUGCAAUCAUCAUCGCUCUCAUGCCUUUACUGCUGGUGCUGUCCGUACCUAAAGCAGCCGGACAUCUUCUGUACGCUAAACCAUCCGGCGUUACGGUAACCCAACAGGCAUCGUUGCUUACCCCAAUCGUGCAAACACAUUACCGUGUGCCGGAAGGUUUCGUCGCUGUUCGCGUGCAGAAUGGUGGCCACUCGAACCCGUCCCACCAGCAGCAGGAUCUUAUCGACGGUCUAAUGCGCACCGGGCACGAUUGGUUGGCCGUAUCGUUCGACGAUCUACCGGCAGCGGAGAGACGUCCCGCCUACUACGGUGUGUUUCUGGUCGCCGACUACCGCUCACUGUGCACGCUGCUAGAUGGAAUGACACCGGGGGCCUAUCAGUUCGAUGGACUGUACACGAUCGUUAUCGAACAGCGGCGGCCAAAGCUGCACGACGUCAUGGAAAGGCUGUGGAGUUGCCGGCUGCUCAAUGUGGUCGUCAUUGUGAGCGAGAAGCGUGCGAACGAGCAUGAAGAACGGUACGUAGCCUACACUUAUCAUCCUUACCGCGAGCACCGGUGUGGCAGCGUGGAACCGUACGCCGUCGGCCAGUACGCGAACGGCACGUGGACCGAACUGGUCCGCUGGUUUGCGAAGCGAACGGACAACUUUAACGGCUGCCCGCUCGUGAUCGGUACGAUCCCCAUCAUACCUUGCUCGAUCAUCGAGCGCGACGGGCCCGGUGGUAGUACCACGCACAAAGGCAUCGAGGUGUCGCAGGUGGACGAUUUGUCGCGCAGGUUCAACUUUACGCCACAGUAUCGCAUCUCGAACGGCAGCACCCGGUGGGGCUUUGCCCGUGCCGUCAACAGUACCGGGCUGAUGGGUUGGAUACAGCGGGGCGAGGUCGAUUUCGGGCUCGGCAGCAUCGGCAUCAGCCUGUCCCGGGUGCAGCAUCUGCGGCCGGGCAUUGCAAGCCGCUUCGGCCAGUUGGCGAUGGCCAUCCCGCCCAAGCGCCCGGACAGCUCGGUGGAGAAGCUGAUCAAACCGUUCAGCCGGCAGACCUGGCUGUGCGUGGUGCUCGGGCUGGCCGGCAUCAGCACGCUGGCCUGGGCACUGUUCGGCACCGGGUGGCGGCGGGUGGCCGACCAGUUGCGCCAUCCGUGCUACACGAUCUGGGUCCUGACGAUGGGUGGCCCGUGCGGUGCGUUGCGCAUGGACAGCACGCGCCUGUUUGUCGUCAGCCUCGUCCUCAACAUGCUGGUCGUGCGGACGCUCUAUCAUGCGGCCAUGUUUGAGCGGCUGCAGGCGUCCGCCAGCCUGGCGUCGGAGUUGGACACACUCGAGCAGAUCAACCGGGCGGGCAAGAUGUACAUUAUGCAUAAAACGAUUGCCCUGUUCUUCAACGAUAACCCGCUGGUCGGUCCCAGGUACCCAGGCAGCACCAUAACCGGUAUGUGUGUGUUUUUGUGUCCAAUGGUAACUAUGUUUUCUUCUCUGUACGGCAGGCGCAUUCGUCAUACACUGCACGAUAACGAGAACUGGGAAGAGCUGCUGUACCAGCUGUCCCGGCCCGGCAGUGACUUUGUGGUAGCAUUACCGCUCGACUGCAUCAAGUACUACGUGCAGCAGUACGGCAAUCGGGGGCUGGUGUACGUCGGCAAACACAACGGCAUUACGUACAAUACGGCCUUCUUCUACCCGCAAACCACCUCGCUGCAGCAGCCGUUCAGUGCCCGCGUGCUGGCGUACCACUCGGCCGGACUGGUCGACCAGUGGGCCCAGGCGUUUGAGGACGGCCGGUACUGGUCGAACGCGAAGGCAGAUCCCGAACCGGCCAGCCUGGCGUGGAGCCACCUUUCCGGUGCGUUCUAUCUGUGCGGCACGAUGCACCUGCUGGCCGUGUGUGUGUUUGGCGCCGAGCUGGGAUGGGCCCGGAAGUGGCGAAAGGCAAGCGAGUAACCUACUCCCCGACGGUACCGUCCCCGCACACUAACUCCAUUGCGUAGCAAUGGGUAGAACAUUAGGAAGGUAAAUAGAGAAAUGCACGCGUAUCAGAAAAAGGUAUAAGUACACCGAUCGCUUCGCAUAGAAGGCAAAAGUGUUUAUCUAUCCGCUAGAAUCGCAAUGC